rnacentral:rRNA from 1 species
GACGAACGCUGGCGGCGUGCUUAACACAUGCAAGUCGAACGGACAGGCCCUGCGCUUGUGGGUGUUCGAGUGGCGAACGGGGGAGUAAUACCAGAGUGAUCUGCCCUCUAUUUUGGGAUAACUUCUGGAAACUGGGGCUACUACUGGAUAGGAACACCUUCUGCCUGGUGGGGGUUGGAAAGAUUAGGCGGUUGGGGUUGGUCUUGCAGGUUAUCAGCCUGCUGGAGGGGUAGUGGCUUACCACGGCUUUGACGGGUAGCCGGCCUGAGAGGGUAGCCGGGCACAAGGGGACUACGAGAGGGACCAGACUCGUACGGGAGGCAGCAGGCGAGAGUAUUGCAGAAUGGGGGGGAGCCUGAGGCAGCAACGCCGGGUGCGUGAUGACGGCCUUCGGGGGGUAAACCGCUUUCGCCGGUGACGAAGCGUGAGUGACGGUAAUGGGUAAAGAAGCACCGGCUAACUACGUG